CGCGUAGGCGGCCACUGCAAGUCGGUUGUGAAAUCUCCGGGCUUAACCCGGGAACUGCGUCCGAUACUGGCAGGCUUGAAUUCGGGAGAGGGAUGUGGAAUUCCAGGUGUAGCGGUGAAAUGCGUAGAUAUCUGGAGGAACACCGGUGGCGAAGGCGGCAUCCUGGACCGAUAUUGACGCUGAUGUGCGAAAGCCAGGGGAGCAAACG
rnacentral:rRNA from 1 species